rnacentral:rRNA from 1 species
UACGUAGGGCGCAAGCGUUGUCCGGAAUUAUUGGGCGUAAAGAGCUCGUAGGCGGCUUGUCACGUCGGGUGUGAAAGCCCGGGGCUUAACCCCGGGUCUGCAUUCGAUACGGGCUAGCUAGAGUGUGGUAGGGGAGAUCGGAAUUCCUGGUGUAGCGGUGAAAUGCGCAGAUAUCAGGAGGAACACCGGUGGCGAAGGCGGAUCUCUGGGCCAUUACUGACGCUGAGGAGGGAAAGCGUGGGGAGCGAACAGG